rnacentral:rRNA from 1 species
CGGGGUGGAGUAAUGUCUGGGAACGUGCCUGAUGGAGGGGGAUAACUGCUGGAAACGGUAGCUAAUACCGCAUAACGUCGCAAGACCAAAGAGGGGGACCGUUCGGGCCUCUUGCCAUCGGAUGUGCCCAGAUGGGAUUAGCUAGUAGGUGGGGUAACGGCUCACCUAGGCGACGAUCCCUAGCUGGUCUGAGAGGAUGCCAGCCACACUGGAACUGAGACACGGUCCAG